GACGAACGCUGGCGGCGUGCCUAAUACAUGCAAGUCGAACGGUCUUUUCUAUGGAAGCUUGCUUCCACUGAGAAGAUAGUGGCGAACGGGUGAGUAACACGUGGGUAACCUGCCCAUAAGAGGGGGAUAACAUCCGGAAACGGGUGCUAAUACCGCAUAGUUUUCUUGAUCGCAUAAUUGAGAAAGGAAAGACGGCCUUUGUGCUGUCGCUUAUGGAUGGACCCGCGGCGUAUUAGUUAGUUGGUGAGGUAACGGCUCACCAAGACGAUGAUACGUAGCCGACCUGAGAGGGUGAUCGGCCACAUUGGGACUGGGACACGGCCCAAACUCCUACGGGAGGCAGCAGUAGGGAAUCUUCCGCAAUGGACGAAAGUCUGACGGAGCAACGCCGCGUGAGUGAAGAAGGUUUUCGGAUCGUAAAACUCUGUUGUCAGAGAAGAACAAGUUGGAGAGUAACUGCUCCAGCCUUGACGGUAUCUGACCAGAAAGCCACGGCUAACUACGUGCCAGCCGCCGCCGUAAAAC
rnacentral:rRNA from 1 species